GUCUGCAAGCCGAGCAGAUCAAGUCCAAUUAGAGGGAAGCGUGUGGCCCCAGUUUCCGUAGGAGGGUCGGGGCUGCUCCAGAGGCAGCAGGAUUUGCAGGAAGGAAGACUGUACACAGAGAAUAAAUAACUUGGCCAAGCCAUUCAGCUAGGAAGUUGUAGAUCCUAAAUUAAGAGUUCAAGGUCUUAAUGGCUACUCUAUGCGGCCUCUCAUAGUCUUUUCAAGGGUUUUGGAGAAGAAUAAAAGAUCAGGUAUGGCUUCUCCCUCCCCCAGCUCUCUAUUGUUCCCUAAAGGAUUAUUCAUUCGUUCAUUCAUUCCUACAUCCUCCCAUUUAUUCCAGUCAUCCACAGAUGUUUGAGUGGUUACAAUGUGCCAGCCUCCCUUCUAGGUACUGGAGAUAAAGUGGGACAAGAGAGGUGAGGUCUGGACCCUUGGCACUUUCACGAUAAAAUACACAGGUAAACAUUUGCCUUUAGGGCCCCCUGUGAUUACUUCCACUCUUGCAGAUAAGAGGAUAAGGCCUCUUCAGCUUGUUCACAGCAGCUGAAAAGCAAAGCCUCUCUGUCAGUAGAGGUAAAAGAUUAAGAAUGCAGAGUCCGAUGGGGCAUUACCACAUGAUUAUGAAUUAAUGCAAUUUUCCAUCUUUUAUUUCCAAUCCAGGCAUUGCUUUUGAACUCAGUCAUCUUUUCCCCCUUGCCCACUAGUUGCUUGUGAUACAUCAGUAUCCUCACUCACCCCCAACUCCAGAGGCUGAAACUAACUCUCCUCCUCCCUCUUCCAACUGCUGAGGAAGAUGAGUCAAUGGUGUUACUGGACCCUGUGAACUGAUGCUGUGAAGAGAGGCCAUUUAACACGGACUACGGGGAAUGGUGCCACAGGGGGCUCAGUGCUGCCCUUCACUCUCAGCAUUUUGCUCACUCAGCAUUGAUGACAGGAUGUCCCAAAAGUAACAAAAGAUGGGAGCCAGUCCUCUCAUAGCUGUUUCUUCAAUCAUCCCAUCAACAGCUCUUCAUUUAUUGAACUACCUUCCUUUUCCAAAGAGGUAAUGCUGAGAUCAGUCAGAAAGGCUUUCUGAGAAAACUGGCUUGGAUUUCUGGGUCUGUUGCAGUCAAUUCAAGAUGAACUGGCUUGUAUCAAUGAAGCGCUCAAUGCAGUUCACAAAACAGGCCUCAGCCCGACUGUCCAACUUUGGCCCAGGCUUGUCCAUGCACUUCUCCCAACAAAGUUCAGUCAUCUGGUGCACCAGCUGCUGGAAGCGCUGCUUUUGAGUCUCUACCUCAAUGAAAAUGCUGCAACUGCGGGUCCACUGCACCCAAACCCGCCGCAGAGGAAGAGCAGGAGGAAUCCAUCCCAGGACAACCAUGCUUGCAGAGACGAACUCCGCACCAACCUUCACGUGUCUCCACGACCUAGUUAAUCAAUUUAAAAUGAGGUCACUAGGGUGGGCCCCAAUCCAAUAUGACUGAUAACUUUAUAAAAAGGAGAGAUUUGGAUACAGAAAGAGACAGAGUGAAAACCAUGUGAAGAAACAUAGGAAAAGAUGGCAGCUACAAGCCAAGGAGAAGCUUGCAGUGUGUAUUCAUCUGUUCUCAUGCUGUUAAUAAAGACAUACCUGAGACUGGGUAAUUUAUAAAGGAAA
rnacentral:lncRNA from 1 species